ACGGCCCACCGUGGCGACGAUGCGUAGGGGUUCUGAGAGGAAGGUCCCCCACACUGGUACUGAGACACGGACCAGACUCCUACGGGAGGCAGCAGUGAGGAAUAUUGGUCAAUGGGAGAGAUCCUGAACCAGCCAAGCCGCGUGAGGGAAGACGGCCCUAUGGGUUGUAAACCUCUUUUGUCGGAGAACAAAACCCGGGACGAGUCCCGGACUGCGUGUAUCCGAAGAAAAAGCAUCGGCUAACUCCGUGCCAGCAGCCGCGGUAAUACGGAGGAUGCGAGCGUUAUCCGGAUUUAUUGGGUUUAAAGGGUGCGUAGGCGGUCUGUUAAGUCAGCGGUAAAAUUGCGGGGCUCAACCCCGUCGAGCCGUUGAAACUGGCAGACUUGAGUUGGCGAGAAGUACGCGGAAUGCGCGGUGUAGCGGUGAAAUGCAUAGAUAUCGCGCAGAACUCCGAUUGCGAAGGCAGCGUACCGGCGCCAGACUGACGCUGAGGCACGAAAGCGUGGGGAUCGAACAGGAUUAGAUACCCUGGUAGUCCACGCAGUAAACGAUGAAUGCUGGUUGUCCGGGUCGAAUGAGACCUGG
rnacentral:rRNA from 1 species